rnacentral:rRNA from 1 species
AUUGAACGCUGGCGACAGGCCUAACACAUGCAAGUCGAACGAGUGGCGGACGGGUGAGUAAUGUAUGAGAACCUGCCUGAUGGAGGGAGAUAACUACUGAAAACGGUAGCUAAUACCGCAUACCAUCAUUUGUGCCCAGAUGGGAUUAGCUCGUUGGUGGGGUACCGGCUCACCAAGGCGACGAUGCCUAGCUGGGCUGAGAGGAUGACCAGCCACACUGGAACUGAGACACGUCCCAGACGCCUACGGGAGGCAGCAGUGGGGAAUAUUGCACAAUGGGCGAAAGUCUGAUGCAGCCAGGCCGAGUGUAUGAAGAGGGCCUGCGGGUUGUAAAGUACUGUGAGCGGGGAGGCGUUACCCGCAGAAGAAGGACCGGCUAACGACGUGCCAGCAGCCGCGGUAAUAC